UUCUUCCCAUCUUCAGAACCAUGGACGGUCAGUUUCGAGAAUGAUGUAGCAAAUGCGAACAUUACAUCAUUAAAACUCUUACUGCAACUAACUGAGUUUGAAUGCAAAGAUACCGGAGAUUAUAAGUGCAUCACAGUAGUGAACAACAGGAUCGAUAUAACUCAGAUCGAUAUAGGCGAUCAAAUUAUUUUUUUAGCUCCUAUAUCUAUAAACUUGAACUUUACCCCGCAAAUGGGAGACUUAGAAUCGGAAUCGAUAAAUGACGUUGGAGACAAUGUGACGUUGACUUGUACAGUUACAGGACCACCUACCUUAAAAAUUGUUUGGAAAUCCAUAAGUUUAUCUUCCGAUGAAAGAGAGUAUAGUUUAUCAACGCG
rnacentral:sRNA from 1 species